ACCUAACACACCCCCUCUGCCCUCCCUCCCUCCUCUCCACCCAUCCAUCAGCCGCCGCCUCCCCCGGCCAGUGCGUUCCACUCCACUAGCGUAUGAUGCACGGAGGCAAACGGCAGCACCCUACCACAGGCGAGCGCUUGCCCAUCCCACCGUCGCCCUUCUAUCUUCCCAUCACCCAGGGACAGAUUGAGCCAGGGUGUUGCGAUUCUCACUGGCAAGUGCAAAGAUUUAGGCAGGAGAGCUUCAAUUCCGAUUGGAUCUGGCAGCAGCGCGGCCCUGUUCCCUUCCUGCGAUGCCACUCUCGGAGAUAGCGAGUGCCUGUAUGUGUGGCGCAACUCGAGUGGUGGCACCGUCGACCUUGCUUCAACGCUCCUAAUAGUGGGAUACACGCUGAUGUGCUUGGGCUUGAGGAUUACUUACAUGCACUGCCUAUCUCUGCAUAAUUUUUAGAUUUCUGAAAAUGGCAUGCUAGAGGUGUUGUAUAGGCCAUUUGUGCAGCUUGUCUCCAUCUAAAGAUCAAUUUUCAUUUCAAAGAUGUAUAAAGCUUAGAAGUGUUUAAGCUGCAGGUAGUAAGCUGUACAAAUGUUUCCACAUAAGGUUAAAAGAAUGCACCUGCCAUUUGGGACCGAGAGGACUUCUGCUGGUAAUCUUGGACGAGCAACAGAGGCUGAUUUGGUGUUGUUGGAGUAACUUAUGUAAUGCUGGAAGAGAACAUGUAUGCGAUGCUAGAUGAAAACUUGUAUGUGAUGUUAGUUAAAAACGUAUGUAACUUGAGACUUUGUAUUUGAUUUGAUGCAAGGCAAAAGAAUAAGAUAUUGUAUGUAUUGGCAUGCUUGAUUAAUUAAGUUGUCUCAUUUAUAUUUAA